rnacentral:rRNA from 1 species
UGGGGAAUCUUAGACAAUGGGCGCAAGCCUGAUCUAGCGAUGCCGCGUGAGUGACGAAGGCCUUAGGGUCGUAAAGCUCUUUCGCCAGGGAUGAUAAUGACAGUACCUGGUAAAGAAACCCCGGCUAACUCCGUG